GGCGCUAUAGUGUAGAGGUUAUCACACGGGAUUUUGAACGAACCCUGCAAUUAUGAUCGCCUCUGGUGAUCGCGGAAUGUCGGAUCUUCCCGUAACCCCGGUUCGAGUCCGGGUAGUGCCU